rnacentral:rRNA from 1 species
UACAGAGGGGGCAAGCGUUAUUCGGAAUUAUUGGGCGUAAAGGGCGCGUAGGCGGCUUGGCAAGUGGAUGGUGAAAUCCCUCGGCUUAACCGAGGAACUGCCGUCCAAACUGCUUUUGCUUUGAGACCGGGAGAGGUGAGUGGAAUUCCCAGUGUAGCGGUGAAAAUGCGUAGAUAUUGGGAGGAACACCAGUGGCGAAGGCGACUUCCUGGCCUGUUCUUGACGCUGAGGCGCGAAAAGCUAGGGGGAGCAAACGGGG